UACGUAGGGUGCAAGCGUUGUCCGGAAUUAUUGGGCGUAAAGAGCUCGUAGGCGGUCCGUCACGUCUGCUGUGAAAACUCGGGGCUCAACCCCGAGCCUGCAGUGGAUACGGGUGGACUAGAGUGCGGUAGGGGAGACUGGAAUUCCUGGUGUAGCGGUGAAAUGCGCAGAUAUCAGGAGGAACACCGGUGGCGAAGGCGGGUCUCUGGACCGAUACUGACGCUGAGGAGCGAAAGCGUGGGGAGCGAACAGGAUUAGAAACCCUCGUAGUCC
rnacentral:rRNA from 1 species